GGCAAGAUGGCAGAAGUAGAGCAGAAGAAGAAGCGGACCUUCCGCAAGUUCACCUACCGCGGCGUGGACCUGGACCAGCUGCUGGACAUGUCCUAGUAAGGGCGGCCGGCGGGGGUCGCGGGCAGGGGCUGGGCCAGCGGUGGGGCUUGUCCGGGUGAGGGCGGCGGGGCGAGGGUCCUGCGGCGGUGGGCGAGCACAGUUUCCGCGCGGGUUUGGGACUGAGUGUGGUCUUGCGCCCAGAAAACUCUCCAGAGACGUUGAGGUUUUUGCUUAUUUUCAACCUGCCCCCCGUUGUUAAGUUUUCCGCGGCGUAGUUGGAAGGUGUAGCCACUGUCUGUAGCCCACGUGACUUAGAAUAAAGGGGCAGCGUUAGACUUCUUAGAUUCUAAGCGCGGUGGCAGUCGCUGGGUCCUUUCCAGGCAGGGUGGUGGUGGGCAUCUGGCUUGCGCUUUUGUUUUUUAAUUUUUUAUUAUUUUGAGACGGAGUCUCAUCCUGUCGCCCAGGCUGGAGUGCAAUGGCCGCGUCUCAGCUCACUGCAGCCUCCGACUCCCGGGUUCAAUUGAUUCUCUUGCCUCAGCCUCUCGAGUAGCUGGGAUUAGAGGGGCCCACCACCACGUCCGGCUAAUUUUUGUAUUUUUAGUAGAGACGAGUUUCAGUGUUGACCAGGCUGGUGUCAAACUCCUGACCUCAGGUGAUCCACCUUCCUCGGCCUCCCAAAGUGCUGGGAUUAUAGGCGUGAACCACCGCGCCCGGCCUUGGUUUUUAAUUAUUUGUAGAAACAGGGUUUCUGUAUGUCGUCCAGGUUGGUCUUGAACUCCUGGGCUCAAGCGACCCUCCCGCCUCAGCCUCCCGAAGUGGUGGGAUCACAGGCGGGAGCCACCGCGCCCUCCCUGCCUUCCCCUGCGUUUUUAGAGGCCUUUGGCCCAAGCUGUACGCUGCAGCACCUUGUCUGAGGCUGUGGUCUCCGGGCCGCUUGUUCUCUCUGCAUCUCUGCAGUCACACGGUGGCUCUUGCAUCUGAGGGGUGAGUCGCGCAUAUCUGGCGGGGGUGCCGGAGGGACUUGGCGUGUUCAUUAUAGUCACUACAGUGGACAGUGACAAGUCCAGUGCGGCUGUGUCCCUGGGGAGAACCAAGCCUUAGUUCUCUGUCCCCCGGAGUGCGUAGGGUCUCCCCAGGCCGGGCCGCUCACGAAGCAGCCUGGUGCAUCCUCCCCAGCGAGCAGCUGAUGCAGCUGUACAGUGCGCGCCAGCGGCGGCGGCUGAACCGGGGCCUGCGGCGGAAGCAGCACUCGCUGCUGAAGCGCCUGCGCAAGGCCAAGAAGGAGGCGCCGCCCAUGGAGAAGCCGGAAGUGGUGAAGACGCACCUGCGGGACAUGAUCAUCCUGCCCGAGAUGGUGGGCAGCAUGGUGGGCGUCUACAACGGCAAGACCUUCAACCAGGUGGAGAUCAAGCCCGAGAUGAUCGGCCACUACCUGGGCGAGUUCUCCAUCACCUACAAGCCCGUAAAGCACGGCCGGCCCGGCAUCGGGGCCACUCACUCCUCCCGCUUCAUCCCUCUCAAGUAGUGGCUCAGCUAAUAAAGGUGCACAUGACUCCA
rnacentral:sRNA from 1 species